ACGCGACCAUCCGCCAAGUGAGCCACGUGUUUAAGCUUCCGCCAAAAGUCAUGCCUAACUUAACGAUUUAUCGUGGUCUUGAUUGUUACUUCUAAAAUUACAGAUGCGUGCAACUCAAUUCAAUCUCGUUUGGUGCUUGAAAGAUAUAUCGACGAAUUCAUCUGAAACUUGAGGUGAACUGUUAUAUCGGCAAGUUUGUUUUUGGAAUGAUGGAGAGAUAGAAACUCGUGGCCACCAGUGUCAAAUCAGUUCAGCUUUCACAAUAUUGCCAAAAUUCGAGUGACAGGUUUUUAAGCACGCUAAUGUGGAAAAUAAAGCAACGUAUAAGGACUACGCGUUGAUAUGAACGUUAACAGAGAGAUCAGUCGCUCGAAAAUGCCGAGCUUCAAAGAAUUCAUUUCGGUGGCACUUAUUUGACCAAAUUAAUUUUCAAUUAUAUUCAAACCGCCCGGGG